rnacentral:hammerhead_ribozyme from 1 species
AUCCGACUGAUUAGUCCUAAAUAGGACGAAACGCGAGUCCUGAAU